AUGAUGGACUAUAGGACAGGACUGCUGCUUUUAACUCUCUGCUGGGCAGGUGUUGAUGGUCAGACUCUGACAGAAUCUGAACCAGCGGUUAAAAGACCUGGAGAAUCCCACAGAUUGACCUGUACAACAUCUGGAUUCACACUUAGUAGCUACUGGAUAGCCUGGAUCAGACAGGCUCCUGAAAAAGGACUGGAGUGGAUUGCUACUGAUGGUGGUAGUAGCAAAUACUACUCUCAGUCAGUCCAAGGCCGGUUUACCAUCUCCAGAGACAACAGCAGAGAGCAGCUGUAUCUGCAGAUGAACAGUCUGAAGACUGAAGAUUCUGCUGUUUAUUAUUGUGCUCGAGAGCCACAGUGACUGGAGUUGGUUGAGCAGCUGUACAAAAUCCUACAGUACUCAUUCUUUCAGGCUGG